CGCGACCCCAGGUCAGGCGGGAUCACCCGCUGAGUUUAAGCAUAUCAAUAAGCGGAGGAAAAGAAACUUACAAGGAUUUCUCUAGUGAUGGCGAGCGAAUCAGGAAUAGUCCAACAUGAGAAUCGGGUGGCCACGCUGUUCGAAUUGUAGUCUGGAAAAGCAUCCUCAGCGGCGGCUCGGGGUCGAGUCCCCUGGAAUAGGGUGCCAUAGAGGCUGAGAGCCUCAUUGCUCCCAGACCCUAUCACACCAUGAGGCACUAUCGGCAAGUUAGGUUGUUUGGGAAUGCAGCCCCAAUCGGCGGUAAAUUCUAUCCAAGGCUAAAUACGGGCAAGAGACCGAUAACAAACAAGUACCACGAGGGAAAGAUGAAAAGGACUUUGAAAAGAGAGUCAAAGAGUGCUUGAAAUUUUUGGGAGGGAAGCGGAUGGGGUCCGACGAUACGUCCAGAUCAGAUGUGGAACGGCGAGAGUCUGUUCGUCGAUCGACUCGGGGGCGAACCAGCACGGAUCGACGUGGCGCUCAAAGCUCGGGCAGUCGAUAUGCUCAUUGUACGGCGUCACACCGAUAUGGACCAAGGAGUCUGACAUGUGUACGAGUCAAUGGGUGAUUAAACUCGUAAGGCACAAGGAAGCUGACCAGUGUGAUCCCCCCGAGUGGUGCACCACUAACCGACCUUGAUCUUCUGAGAAGGGUUCGAGUGAGCGUACCUGUCAGGAUCCAAAAGAUGGUGAACUAUGCGUGAGCGUGGUAAAGCCAGAGGAAACUCUGGUGGAGGCCCGCAGUGAUACUGGGAUGCAAAUUGUUCGUCUGACUUGGGUAUAGGGGCAAAUGACUAAUCGAACCGUCUAGUAGCUGGUUCCCUCCGAAGUUUCCCUUAGGAAUGCUGGAGCUCUAAUGUGAGUUCUAUCGGGUAAAGCCAAUGAUUAGAGGCAUCGGGGGCGCAAUGCCCACGACCUAUUCUCAAACUUUAAAUAGGUAGGACGGUGCGGUUGCUCCGUUGAGCCGCGUCAGAGAAUCGUGAGCUCCACAUGGGCUAUUUUUGGUAAACAGAACUAGCGAUGCAGGAUGAACCAGAAGCCAGGCUACAGUGCCCAACUGCGCACUAACUUAGAUUCCACAAAAGGUGUUGGUCGAUUAAGACAGCAGGACGGUGGUCAUGGAAGUCAAAAUCCACUAAGGAGUGUGUAACAACUCACCUGCCGAAUCAACUAGCCCCGAAAAUGGAUGGCGCUGAAGCGCGCGACCUAUACCUGCCAUCGGGGCAAGGGCCAGGCCCCGUUGAGUAGGAGGCCACGACGGUCGCUGCAAAACCCUGGGCGCGAGCCAAGACGGAGCGGCCGUCGGUGCAGAUCUUGGUGGUAGUAGCAAAUAUUCAAGUGAGAACUUUGAAGGUCGAAGAGGGGAAAGGUUCCACGUGAACGGCACUUGCACAUGGCUUAGUCGAUCCUAAAGGUAGGGGGAAGCCCGACAGACAGCACAUUCAGCGCGUGCUAUGAAAGAGAAUUAGGUUAAAAUUCCCAAAUCGGGAUGCGGCAGUUGACGACAACAUUAGAGAGUCCAAAGAUGUCGGCGGGGGCCUCGAGAAGAGUUAUCUUUUCUAUUUAACAGCCCGUCCACCCUGGAAAUGGCUCAGCCGGAGGUAGGGUCCAGCGGCUGGAAGAACACCGCACGUCACAUGGUGUCAGGCGCGCCCCUCGGCGGCCCUUGAAAAUUCAGAAGACCGAGUACCAUCCACGCCCGAUCGUACUCAUAAUCGCAUCAGGUCUCUAAGGUGAACAGCCUCUGGUCGAUGGAAUAAUGUAGGCAAGGGAAGUCGGCAAAAUGAAUCUGUAACCUCGGGAAAAUGAUUGGCUCUGAGGGCUGGGCACGGGGGUCCUAGCCCCGAACCCCUCGACUGUCGACAAACUACUCGAGCUGCUCGCACGGCGAGAUCGGGUCGUUGCGUGCCGAUCGGGGGAUGGACUGAGAACGGCUCCCUCGGGGCCUUCCCCAGGCAUCGAAUAGUCGAUUCAGAACUGGUAUGGACAAGGGGAAUCUGACUGUUUAAUUAAAUCAAAGCAUUGCAAUAGUCCCUGCGGAUGCUCACGCAAUGUGAUUUCUGCCUAGUGCUCUAAAUGUCAAAGUGAAGAAAUUCAACCAAGCGCGGAUAAACGGCGGGAGUAACUAUAACUCUGAAUAUAAAUGUUAAUAUUCAUAAAAAGGCCGAGGUCAAAAAUAUGUGUGUCGUUUAAAAUGGAUUAGUGGAGAAGAAUGAUGAUGGCAUAUUACGUAGAGUUUCACAAUGGUUAUGUUGAUACCAUGUGUGUCGUUUAAAACGAGAACUAUAUGGCCUUCACGAGGCGCCACUUGCUUGGUACCAAAUUGUGUCAAAUUUACUUAACAUAAAUAAAAUUUGUCUAAUAAAAAUAAAAUAUAUUUAUGUAUGAAAAAAGGAAUCACAUUUCUCCACCAAUAAUCUUAUACAUCUCAUAAACGUGACAUUUUACCUUUUCAUUUGAAUUCACCAAAAUCUAUUGCAAAUCAAUCAAAUUUUUUUAUGAUUCCACAUCUAUAUGACGCACAAGAAGGAUGUGAUGAGGCCUUCAAACCCAAAUAAUGGUAUGAUCAGAUGAAUUUUUUAUUUAUUUUUUAUUUUUUUGUUCAUGGUAUAUAUGAUAUAUACAAAUUGAUCUUUGAUAUUGUAAAUGGAGUUGUUUUAUGUUGGUAUUAGUAUAGAUAAAGUAGAAGAAGUGUUAACAUGUUUCUUCAACUCUGCUUCUAUUAGUGCACUACAAAAAAACCUUGAAUAGAGACGGUUUUAGAGACGACAUUUAAUGAUUUGAGACGAUUUUUUACACGGUUUUAUGGCCGUCUACAAUUUGUACAUACCUAUAAUA
rnacentral:rRNA from 1 species